rnacentral:lncRNA from 1 species
AAAACUGUUGCAUACCGAGUCAAGUCCCUGCCUUCCUCUACCAAAGCUCCUGCAACUGAAAUCACUAGAGAUGAAGGCAAAGCUGAUGAUUCUCUGGUAGACUCUGGUCCCAAUUCUAUAACAAAUGAUGUAUGUCCUAUGAAAAACUCAAUUAUCAAUCUUGGGAAAUCUCCUUCUUACAAAGAAGUUGCUCUGGCACCCCCUGGUACCAUUGCUAAGUUGCAGGUCUGGAUGCCACAGACCGAUACUUUAGAUAAGCAUGAAUUGGUGGUUGAAAAACAUGAAGAGGAAAGACUAAUGGAAGAAAAAGAUACUGAGCAAAUAAUUAUGGGGAUGGAAGAAAUACUAAAGGAGAAGAAUGAGAGUUCUACAUCAAACUCAUCAGAUUACUCAAAAGAGGAGGUUGGACUUCUUGAGAAGAAAGAAGAAAAUCAGUCAACUGAAGUUAUAGAACCCAAGCCUUCUUCGGUGAUCCCUGAAGGCAUGCAAGAACCGGAGUCUGGUGCUGAUAAUGUUGAUAAUGCUGAGCAAGAUAGUACAUUGAUUGACUGCAUACCUGAUCCUAUUGAUUCUCCCAAGAAUGAAGUUCCUGAGAAGGAAUCAUCUAGUAGUAUUGAACCUCAGAAUGAUCAGAACUCCACUGUGCAUGGAAUUGAUGAUUUGAAGGAUAAACAAUUAAUUCCGAGUUCAAGUGAUACUAGGGUGUUACCCAACAAGAAAUUGUCUGCAUCAGCAGCUCCAUUCAAUCCAUCCCCUAUAAUUUCUCGUCCUACACCAGUUGCCAUGAACAUUAACCUUCCUCCAGGUCCUGGUGCUCUUCCAGCUGUUGCACCUUGGCCAGUAAACAUGACUCUUCAUCCUGGUCCUGCUGCAGUCUUACCAAAUCCAAUGUGCUCUUCCCCCCACCAACCAUACCCAUCACCUCCUUCAACACCAAACCUCAUGCAGCCACUGCCCUAUAUGUACCCUCCAUAUACUCAGCCUCAAGCUGUGCAAACGACUACUUUUCCUAUAACUAGUGGCCCAUUUCAUCCAAAUAAGUUCUCAUGGCAGUGCAGUGUGAGUCCUAC